rnacentral:rRNA from 1 species
GAUGAACGCUAGCGGCAGGCCUAAUACAUGCAAGUCGGACGGGAUCCAUUGAUAGCUUGCUAUCAAUGGUGAGAGUGGCGCACGGGUGCGUAACGCGUGAGCAGCCUGCCUCCAUCAGGGGGAUAGCCUCUCGAAAGAGAGAUUAACACCGCAUAAUAUCAACAGUUCGCAUGUUCAGUUGAUUAAAUAUUUAUAGGAUGGAGAUGGGCUCGCGUGACAUUAGCUAGUUGGUAGGGUAACGGCUUACCAAGGCGACGAUGUCUAGGGGCUCUGAGAGGAGAAUCCCCCACACUGGUACUGAGACACGGACCAGACUCCUACGGGAGGCAGCAGUAAGGAAUAUUGGUCAAUGGGCGGAAGCCUGAACCAGCCAUGCCGCGUGCAGGAUGACUGCCCUAUGGGUUGUAAACUGCUUUUGUCCAGGAAUAAACCUAAAUACGAGUAUUUAGCUGAAUGUACUGGAAGAAUAAGGAUCGGCUAACUCCGU